rnacentral:rRNA from 1 species
CCCUUAGAUGUUCUGGGCUGCACGCGCGCGACAAUGACGUUUGCAACGAGAUACGAGACCGAAAGGUUAAGUUGAUCUAGCAAGCUGCGUCGUGAUAGGGACUGUCGAUUGCAAUUAUUCGACACGAACGAGGAAUUCCUUGUAAUCGUACAUCAUCAGUGUGCGCUGAAUACGUCCCUGCCCUUUGUACACACCGCCCGUCGCUCCUACCGAUCGAGUGAUCCGGUGAAUGUUUUGGAUCGGUUGCAAGUUGCGCGACGCGCUUCUUGCAUGCUGUGAAAUCAUGUAAGCCUUAUUGCUUAGAGGAAGGAGAAGUCGUANCA